UACGUAGGGGGCAAGCGUUGUCCGGAAUUAUUGGGCGUAAAGAGCGCGUAGGCGGUCCGGUAAGUCGGUUGUGAAAACUGGGGGCUCAACCCUCAGAGGCCGACCGAUACUGUCGGGCUAGAGUCCGGAAGAGGCGAGUGGAAUUCCUGGUGUAGCGGUGAAAUGCGCAGAUAUCAGGAGGAACACCAAUGGCGAAGGCAGCUCGCUGGGACGGUACUGACGCUGAGGCGCGAAAGCGUGGGGGAGCAAACAGG
rnacentral:rRNA from 1 species